rnacentral:rRNA from 1 species
AACGAACGCUGGCGGCAUGCCUAACACAUGCAAGUCGAACGAGACCUUCGGGUCUAGUGGCGCACGGGUGCGUAACGCGUGGGAACCUGCCCUUAGGUUCGGAAUAACUCCCCGAAAGGGGUGCUAAUACCGGAUAAUGUCUUCGGACCAAAGAUUUAUCGCCUUUGGAUGGGCCCGCGUUGGAUUAGCUAGUUGGUAGGGUAAAAGCCUACCAAGGCGACGAUCCAUAGCUGGUCUGAGAGGAUGAUCAGCCACACUGGGACUGAGACACGGCCCAGACUCCUACGGAAGGCGCCGGUAAGGAAUAUUGGACAAUGGGCGAAAGCCUGACCCAGCAAGGCCGCGUGAGUGAUGAAGGCCUUAGGGUUUUAAAGCUCUUUUACCCGGGUUGAUAAGGAAAGUACCGGGAGAAUAAGCUCGGGCUAACUCCGG